UGCAGUGUAGCACAGUGGUACGGAGCAGGACUCAUAAUCCUGCUGGUUGCUGGUUUGAUUCCCUGCUGGGGCAC